rnacentral:rRNA from 1 species
UACAGAGGGUGCAAGCGUUAAUCGGAAUUACUGGGCGUAAAGCGCGCGUAGGCGGCUCUGCAAGUCGGGUGUGAAAUCCCCAGGCUUAACCUGGGAACUGCAUUCGAGACUGCAUUGCUAGAGUAUGGGAGAGGGAAGUGGAAUUUCCGGUGUAGCGGUGAAAUGCGUAGAUAUCGGAAGGAACAUCAGUGGCGAAAGCGACUUCCUGGACCAAUACUGACGCUAAUGUGCGAAAGCGUGGGGAGCAAACAGG